UACGUAGGUGGCAAGCGUUGUCCGGAUUUACUGGGCGUAAAGGGUGCGCAGGCCGCGCGGGCAGUCAAAUGUGUAAUCCAGGGGCUCAACCCCUGAACUGCGCUUGAUACUUCCGCGCCCGAGCUUUGGAGAGGAGUCUGGAAUUCUCGGUGUAGCAGUGAAAUGCGUGGAUAUCGAGAAGAACACUUAGGGCGUAGGCAAGACUCUGGACAAAUGCUGACGCUCAUGCACGAAGGCUAGGGUAGCGAACGGG
rnacentral:rRNA from 1 species